rfam:Pan troglodytes isolate Yerkes chimp pedigree #C0471 (Clint) chromosome 13, whole genome shotgun sequence.
GCUGGGUGUGGUGGCUCACACCUGUAAUCCCAGCACUUUGGGAAGCUGAGGUGGGUGGAUUGCUUGAGCCCAGGAGUUCAAGAGCAGCCUGGGUAACAUGGCAAGACCCUGUCUCUA